rnacentral:rRNA from 1 species
AAGUAAUUAAGGGCUCACAGUGGAUACCUUGGUAUUUAGAAGCGAUGAAGGGCGUGACUACCAGCGAAAUUCUUCGGGGAGUUGGAAGUAAACUUUGAUCCGUAGGUUCCCGAAUGAGGCAACUCUUUAAUACUGUCUACUAAAUAAAUAAGUAGAUAAGAGCAAACUUAGUGAACUGAAACAUCUUAGUAACUAAAGGAAAAGAAAGCAAAAGCGAUUUCCUUAGUAGCGGUGAGCGAAACGGAAUUAGUCUAAACCACUUUAAUUUGUUUUAGUGGGGUUGUGGGACAAUAAACAUAAUUUAUACAUAUUAGAUGAAAUAAAUGGAAUCUUAUACCGUAGAAGGUGAUAGUCCUGUAAUUAAAAGUAUGUAGCAAUUUAUAUUGUAUCCCAAGUAGCAUGGGGCACGUGAAAUCCCGUGUGAAUCCACGAGGACCACCUCGUAAGACUAAAUAUUACUAAAUAACCGAUAGUGAACUAGUACCGUGAGGGAAAGGUGAAAAGAACCCCGGGAGGGGAGUGAAAUAGAACAUGAAAUUGUGAGCUUACAAGCAGCAGUAGGACGAAAAACGUUUAUCUGCGUGCAUGUUGAAGAAUGAGCCGGCGACUUAUAUGUAGUGGCAGGUUAAAAUAAAAAAUAUUGGAGCCAUAGUGAAAGCGAGCUUUAACUAAGCGUUUUUUGUCAUUAUUUAUAGACCCGAACCCGAAUGAUCUAACCAUGGCCAGGGUGAAACUUAGGUAAAACUAAGUGGAGGUCCGAACCGACUGAUGUUGAAAAAUCAGCGGACGAGCUGUGGUUAGGGGUGAAAUGCCAAUCGAAUUCGGAGCUAGCUGGUUCUCCCCGAAAUGCGUUUUGGCGCAGCGAUUGAUACUUUAACUUAGGGGUAAAGCACUGUUUCGGUGCGGGCUACGAAAGUGGUACCAAAUCAAGGCAAACUCUGAAUACUAAGUGUGUAAUCAAUCAGUGAGACAGUGGGGGAUAAGCUUCAUUGUCAAAAGGGAAACAGCCCAGACCACCAUCUAAGGCCCCUAAAUAAUUGCUAAGUGAUAAAGGAAGUAAGAAUGCAUAAACAACCAGGAGGUUUGCUUAGAAGCAGCAAUCCUUUAAAGAGUGCGUAAUAGCUCACUGGUCUAGUGAUCUUGCGCCUAAAAUGAAUGGGACUAAGUAAUUUGCCGAAGAUGUGGGAUGUAUUUACAUCGGUAGGGGAGCGUUCUGUUGUAGUGAGAAGCAUUAAUGUAAAUGAAUGUGGACGAAGCAGAAGUGAGAAUGUCGGCUUGAGUAGCGAAAACAUUGGUGAGAAUCCAAUGCCCCGAAAACCUAAGGUUUCCUUUGGAAGGUUCGUCCGCAAAGGGUGAGUCAGGACCUAAGGCGAGGCUGAAAAGCGUAGUCGAUGGAUAACAGGUUAAUAUUCCUGUACUAUUUAUUGUUUGUAUUGAGUGACGAAAAAGGCUAAAUCAUCCGGAUGUUGGUUACCGGUUUAAACUAUCAAAGCGAAGAUAAAUGGAGAAAACAUUUUGAGCUAAGAAGUGAAUACAAAAUACUUUAAUGUAUUGAAGUGAUUGAUGUCAUGUUUCCAAGAAAAACUUAUAAUACGUUAAAUAAUAAAUACCUGUACCCAAAACCGACACAGGUAGGUAGGUAAAAUAUACUAAGGGGCGCGAGAUAACUCUCUCUAAGGAACUCGGCAAAAUAGCCCCGUAACUUCGGGAGAAGGGGUGCCCUUGUAGGGCUGCAAUAAAUAGACCCAAGCGACUGUUUAUCAAAAACACAGGUCUCCGCGAAGUCGUAAGACAAUGUAUGGGGGCUGACGCCUGCCCAGUGCCGGAAGGUUAAAGAAGUUGGUUAGCUUUUAGGCAAAGCUAAUAACUGAAGCCCCGGUGAACGGCGGCCGUAACUAUAACGGUCCUAAGGUAGCGAAAUUCCUUGUCGGGUAAGUUCCGACCCGCACGAAAGGCGUAACGAUUUGGGUACUGUCUCGGAGAGAGACUCGGCGAAAUAGAAUUGUCUGUGAAGAUGCGGACUACCUGCACCUGGACAGAAAGACCCUAUGAAGCUUUACUGUAGCUUGAAAUUGAGUUUGAGUUUAUUUUGUGCAGAAUAGGUGGGAGACUAAGAUAAUACAUUUGAGAAUGUAAAGGAGUCAUCAGUGAGAUACCACUCUAAUUAAACUAAAAUUCUAAUCUUAAUGCCGUUAUCCGGCUAAGAAACAGUUUCAGGUGGUCAGUUUGACUGGGGCGGUCGCCUCCUAAAAGGUAACGGAGGCGUGCAAAGGUUUCUUCAGACUGGUCGGAAAUCAGUCGUAGAGUAUAAAGGCAUAAAGAAGCUUGACUGUGAGACUUACAAGUCGAGCAGAGACGAAAGUCGGCCUUAGUGAUCCGACAGUGCUGAGUGGAAAGGCUGUCGCUCAACGGAUAAAAGUUACUCUAGGGAUAACAGGCUGAUCUCCCCCAAGAGUUCACAUCGACGGGGAGGUUUGGCACCUCGAUGUCGGCUCAUCGCAUCCUGGGGCGGUAGCACGUCCCAAGGGUUGGGCUGUUCGCCCAUGAAAGCGGUACGCGAGCUGGGUUCAGAACGUCGUGAGACAGUUCGGUCCAUAUCCGGUGUAGGCGUUAGAAUAUUGAAAGGAUUUCUCCUUAGUACGAGAGGACCGGGAGAAACAUACCGCUAGUGUGCCAGUUAUUGUGCCAACAGUAAACGCUGGGUAGCUAAGUAUGGCUUGGAUAACCGCUGAAAGCAUCUAAGUGGGAAGCCUACCUUAAGAUUAAUAUUCUUUAAGAUCAUGGCUAGACUAGCCGUUUGAUAGGCAUUAAGUAUAAGUAUAGUAAUAUAUUCAGCUAAAAUGUACUAAUAGAUCAAAAACUUGAUAAAAUA